CAGUAGCCGCGGGAAUACAGAGGGUGCGAGCGUUAAUCGGAUUUACUGGGCGUAAAGCGUGCGUAGGCGGCUUUUUAAGUCGGAUGUGAAAUCCCUGAGCUUAACUUAGGAAUUGCAUUCGAUACUGGGAAGCUAGAGUAUGGGAGAGGAUGGGAGAAUUCCAGGUGUAGCGGUGAAAUGCGUAGAGAUCUGGAGGAAUACCGAUGGCGAAGGCAGUCAUCUGGCCUAAUACUGACGCUGAGGUACGAAAGCAUGGGGAGCAAACAGGAUUAGAUACCCGUGUAGUCCCUGUCUCUUAUAC
rnacentral:rRNA from 1 species